rnacentral:ribozyme from 1 species
GCUGCCCAAAGACAACAACCGCUGCGUGGUGGGCGGCAGGCAACGGAGCACUUGCUCCGGCUAAUAGUUGUUG